UUUUGUGUUUUUGCAGCUGUAGUGGAAAAUCCAGUUCUUGUAUUGCCUUCUAGUUGGCCACAGUUUUUUUUUUUUUUUUUAACAAAGCGUUAACCGUUUAUGAUUCACCGCAUUCAAACUUCAUCUCUUCACAUUUGACGCCUGGUGUUAAACAAAAACCAAGGUGCAGAAAUAUCUGCCUCAUGGCACGCUACGACUGCCAUGUAGCUGCCAGUUCAAGCAUUGUUAUUUUCUCCGCAGUCCUCUGUGUGCAGGGCGAGGCACUCCCAUUCAUUUUUGCAUGAAAGAUUUCCUCCAGUGAAGGAGAAACGUUGGGACACCUCUUGUGACGUUCACUGAUCUGCGUAGCAGAGGAGCAAGUAUGUGCGCUUGCUGUUCCUCGUAACUGGAAUUGCUGACUUGACGCUUGAAAAUAACCACAUUACAGAGCACCAGCUGCACUUCAGCUUUCUGAGCCUCAUGGCAAGUCUGAAGGGGCAAAAAAGAAGAUAAAUAAGAUGGAAUCCUCUGCUCCAUGCUGCUGUGCGAGAAGGAAAAUGCCAGUCAUCAGCUCACAAUGACGAGCAGAGGACUGUCUCUGAGAGUGACGUCACAACUACGUCCAACUCCGGCAGCUUUAUUGUUCACACCUGGGUCACUGUAAGCCAGGGAAACCCUCUCUCUCUCUCUCUCUCUCUCACACACACACACACACACACACACACACACACACUGCCACAAUCGCUAAUCCAAUUAGGACAGUAGUUAGUGGCUGGCUGGCUCAGGCCUCCUCAGACGCACGUUGAUCCAAUUAUCACCGGAUGGAUUGGCUGGGCAAUCCCUGUGCUUCCCAGCUCAAAGGUGCUUAAAUGGCUCUGUGCCACCGCAUCAGGAGGACACCGCAUACGCACAAAGGAUUCCCCCUGCUAUUUUCACAGACGUACAUGCCAGUGAGUCAACAAAAGAAGAGGAAGAAGCCACGAGGUGACUUCCACUCAGUCAGCAGAGUUGCAGAGAUUGGACAGAAAUAGCAGAGCUCAGCUGGAGUUGGAGAUUUCCCCCCACAGUAACAAGCCAGGAACAGCCAAGACAAAUGGAAAUCAUCGAGAGGAAUUUAAAAAAAUAAAACAAAACAAAAAAAACAAUAGGUGGGACGACCUUGGGUUGCUGCGUGUAAGGCUCGGAGCAAGCACUCGUUUCUAAAAUGCUAGAAGAGCAUUGAUAUGAUUUGUGGUGGGCGAUUGAGUGUGUAUGUGUGUCUUUGAUGAGAGCCUCUUUAUUAAACAACAACCCAGAACGAGGUGCUCUCCAAACGAGGCCACAACUCUGUUCAGAGGCUCUUAUGCGGCUGUGCAGCGGCGCUUUGCAGCGACACUCUGCAGCGCUGUUACGUUCUCCUUUAUCCUCUCCUCUCUGCACACAAACACACACUCACACUGUAUCAGCACAAUAGCCGAUCCUCUCCUCGUGUGACGAACCACGCUGCCACGCUAAAGUCACACACUCACAUGCAUACUUCAUGCAAACAGACAAAAAAAAAGGAAAGAAAAGGCUUUGGUGAGAGGAAGCUCAUGAAAAGGUGAUUGAGCAAAAGGGGAGUUAGUUGUGUCUGUCAUGUGUCAUGUCAGGCCCUCCUUUAUGCUAAUGUACUAUUCAUCUGUGUCAUAGAACAAUAAUGACUCUCAGCGCAGCGAGCCUCAUUGAGGCACUCAGACCAGAGUGAAGCUCUACUGUCCACUUCACCGUUUCUGUCUUCACAGCUCCAUCUGUCUAUUUUUGUUCUUUUUCAUCAUGUUUUCUCUCCUCCUCUUUUCUGUUUUCCCCCUGAUUUGUGUCUCAGCUUAUCUCAGUAUGUCGGUCUUGGCUCCGUUGUCAGCUCUCAGCAGCAGUUAACAGUCUGGCUGCUAUAACUUGAAAUUAUUGAUGUUUCUGAUCAGGAGAACAGUUCCUUAAGAAACCUUGACAUUUAAAUCACAAUAUUACUUGGAAACUCUACUUAUUCAAAAUAAUAAUUUUUAUGUCUGAAGUAGUUUGUUUUAAGGAGCUCGAGUAUUUGUCGAAAGAGGACACAAAGCACAUUGGUCUACGACUGAAGGUGUUUUCACAGCACUUUAUUUAGUUUCCCUUUCAGAUCAAUAAAGUAUUUCUGAAUUUAAUUUUUCAAUUCAAGUGUGAGAGACUUCACCUUAGCAUAUCCUUGACCCUCUCCAGGCCAUUUGGGUAUCAUUAAAGUUGUGCAAGAAACAUUUUGGAUUCGUCCUCAUUCAAGGCAGUGGUUCUCAAUCCUUGUCUUCGAAUCCACUGUCCUUCACGUUUCAGAAAUUU